AGCGAACGCUGGCGGCAGGCCUAACACAUGCAAGUCGAACGAAGUCUUCGGACUUAGUGGCGGACGGGUGAGUAACACGUGGGAACGUGCCUUUAGGUUCGGAAUAACUCAGGGAAACUUGUGCUAAUACCGAAUGUGCCCUUCGGGGGAAAGAUUUAUCGCCUUUAGAGCGGCCCGCGUCUGAUUAGCUAGUUGGUGAGGUAAUGGCUCACCAAGGCGACGAUCAGUAGCUGGUCUGAGAGGAUGACCAGCCACAUUGGGACUGAGACACGGCCCAAACUCCUACGGGAGGCAGCAGUGGGGAAUCUUGCGCAAUGGGCGAAAGCCUGACGCAGCCAUGCCGCGUGGAUGAUGAAGGUCUUAGGAUUGUAAAAUUCUUUCACCGGUGAAGAUAAUGACUGUAGCCGGAGAAGAAGCCCCGGCUAACUUCGUGCCAGCCGCCGCCGUAA
rnacentral:rRNA from 1 species